GGGUCCGUAGCUCACCUGGGAGAGCGCAUCGUUCGCAACGAUGAGGUAGCGAGUUCGAUCCUCGUCGGAUCCACCA
rnacentral:tRNA from 1 species